rnacentral:rRNA from 1 species
UACGGGGGGGGGCAAGCGUUGUUCGGAAUUACUGGGCGUAAAGGGUUCGUAGGUGGCUUGUUAAGUCAGACGUGAAAUCCCUCGGCUCAACCGGGGAACUGCGUCUGAGACUGAUGAGCUCGAGUGCAGGAGAGGAACGCGGAAUUCCAGGUGUAGCGGUGAAAUGCGUAGAUAUCUGGAGGAACACCGGUGGCGAAGGCGGCGUUCUGGACUGCAACUGACACUGAGGAACGAAAGCCAGGGGAGCAAACGGG